GGGCCCACCUUCCAGGCAUCGAUCAGUAGCCGACCUGAGAGGGUGAUCGGCCACACUGGAACUGAGACACGGUCCAGACUCCUACGGGAGGCAGCAGUGGGGAAUAUUGCACAAUGGGGGAAACCCUGAUGCAGCAACGCCGCGUGAGCGAUGAAGGCUUUCGGGUCGUAAAGCUCUGUCCUAAGGGAAGAAUAGAUGACGGUACCUUAGGAGGAAGCCCCGGCUAACUACGUGCCAGCAGCCGCGGUAAUACGUAAGAGGCAAGCGUUGUCCGGAAUCACUGGGCGUAAAGCGCGUGUAGGUGGUUUGGUAAGUCGGAUGUGAAAUCCCCGGGCUCAACCCGGGAACUGCGUCCGAAACUGCCUCACUAGAGAACAGGAGAGGAGAGUGGAAUUCCCG
rnacentral:rRNA from 1 species